rnacentral:rRNA from 1 species
GUGCCAGCCGCCGCGGUAAUACCGGCAGCCCAAGUGAUGGCCGAUCUUAUUGGGCCUAAAGCGUCCGUAGCUGGCUGCGCAAGUCCGUCGGGAAAUCCACCCGCCCAGCGGGUGGGCGUCCGGUAGAAACUGGCCGGCUUGGAACCGGAAGGCUCAGAGAGUACGUUCGGGGUAGGAGUGAAAUCCCAUAAUCCCGCACGGACCACCGAUGGCGAAAGCACUUCGAGAAAACGGAUCCGACAGUGAGGGACGAAAGCCAGGGUCUCCAACCGGAUUAGAUACCCGUGUAGUCC